rnacentral:lncRNA from 1 species
AUAUGGUCAAAUCUAGGGUUUCUUCAUGCCUUUUUUUGCUUUGUAAUUGAAGUGUGAGAGGUCCCAUGGGGAUAUGGUACCUAGAUCUGGACCUUAGCAGGUCUAGAGAGUCCCAAAUGCCAUACUUUAUGUCCUUCCUUUUGGGUUGGAGACUAGGGUUGCCAUCUUAGAGGUCAUUUCUUCAAAAAAGAGCCUUGUAGGUGUUGCAUCGUAGCCAAGACUGUGACUUUACGUGAUGAAUGAGCUUAAGAGGGCCAGAUCUAUGAGUUGAUGGAGCAGAUCUGACCUCAGAAGCGAGAUUGAGUUGAUGCAUGGCAUGGAUUCGCCGAGUCCGAAGAACAAACUCGGCGAGUAGCAUGAAGAUUGUCCUUAACCACUCAACGAGUGUUCUUGAGACUCGGCGAGUUGAGUCAUGGUGGCCCCGCGAUUCAUGCCAGGUGGAACUCGUCGAGUCAGGGGAGUACUCGACGUGUCAAGAGAGGAUCCUAGGGAGUCAGUGAACACGUAUAGACUCGCCGAGUCGCCCUAGUGCACUCGCCGAGUCCGGUCAAAGUUGACCGUUGACUGUUGACCAGUGUUGACUUGAUAGGGGUAGUCAACCUUAGUGGUAAAAGUGUUAAUUAGAGAUAUAUGAUGUUAUAGGAGGAUUAUAGCUCGGAGGAUCGAGCACGAGUGAUUUCCAGGAUUCACGAGUUAUCGAGAUAUACGAGGUGAGUCUUCUCACUAUACUUUACCUUGAGUAGGUAAUCAGAGUUAUGUGANNNNNNNNNNNNNNNNNNNNNNNNNNNNNNNNNNNNNNNNNNNNNNNNNNNNNNNNNNNNNNNNNNNNNNNNNNNNNNNNNNNNNNNNNNNNNNNNNNNNNNNNNNNNNNNNNNNNNNNNNNNNNNNNNNNNNNNNNNAGAGUUAGAACCAGAGGGUUCACAGAGUAGGGUCCACGGACCCACAGAGUUAUAGCCUCGAGUGGCUAAUAUGUGUUAUGUAUGGUAUUUUGGGGAACUCACUAAGCUUCGUGCUUAUAGUGUUAGUGUUAUUUGUUUCUGGUACUAGUGACGACCAUGGGAAGGCGCCGGCUUGAUCUGUACACACGCAUAGCAUUUUUAUGAUAUGUGAUCUUGGGAUUUUGUAUGAUGUGAAUUGGAGUUUUAAACUUGAUGUUUUAUGAAAAUUAAAUGAAAAAUGUUUUUAUAUUAUGCGAAAAAUUAUUUUGAAAUUCACGGUGUUACAAGUUGGUAUCAGAGCCUUGGUUUGAGGGAUUCGAGUACACCUUCGGGCGUAUUUGAACUCAAACUGAGGAUUUGAGAAGUAUUUUCAAAAAGAGUAAAAGAUUUUUGGAAAAACGCAGAGCAGAGUUGUGUGUACGAUCAUUCCGCGCCCGAACGGUGAUUUCCCAAAAUACCCUUAUGUUAUGUGAUAUUGAUACUGAUAUGAUGUAUUCGCAUGCUAGAGUAGGCUAGGUAUUCCUAUUAGGACUAGAGUGGCCUGAUUUGUGAUGCCUUAGCCUAGGAAGAGGUGAGGUGCUAUGAGAUGCUUGAGAGUGAGUAGGUAGCAGCGAGGGGCUUAUGAGAGAUCUAUUAGAGAGUGGCCUAUGCAUGAUAGAGUACUUGGAAUUUGGGAUUCGAAGAGGAGGACUUGGGGUGUAUUCUGAUACGGUGCGGACAGUAGUAUUGGGCCCGUACUACUGAAAGCACCGGAGCGGUGUACGACCCAAGUAAGAAUCUUUGGACUACCAAGGAUCAAGGAGGAAUGAGUUGUCGAGUGUGAGUAUGGUCGAAUGGGUUCUAAUUUAUCGUAUGUUGUAUUUCAGAGGUACAUCAUGGUGAGGACACGUUUGAUGCCUGAGAGCAGUGAUACCAGUGAUGAGGAGAUCCGCCGGAUCAUCCAUGAGGAGGUGGCUGCGGCCAUCAGGGCAGAGAUACCAGAGAUGUUCGGGUCUAUUAAGACCACGCUGAUUGAGACCUUUGACGAGCGUUAUGCCGCUCUUUCUGAGGCUGCUGUUGCAGCGGNGCUAUUGCUGCCGCGAGGCCGCAAGGUGGUGAUGCGUUGCUGUUCCGGGAGUUCAACAACACAAAACCACCUGAGUUUGAUGGGACCUAGGACCUGGUGGCAGCUAUGAGGUGGAUUUCUGACAUAGAGGGGUGUUUCUUCACUUGCUCAUCUCCUAAGCAUUUGAAGGUUCAGUUCGUGCAGAACCAGCUUUGCUUGGGAGCGAUGGACUGGUGGAAGUUUGUGACGGCGCAUUUUACGCCUGCUGAGCUUGCGGCAGUGACCUGGGAGAGGUUCACUGCCAUGUUCCGAGAUGAGUACGUUCCCCAGGUGGAGAGGGAGCGUUUGGCCCAGGAGUUUCUGACCCUCAAGCAGGGUACUGAGUCUGUUACGGUGAUUACCAGGAUGUUCCAUGAGAGGGCGAUGUUCUGCCCUGAGCACGUGUCCACUGAGCAGGCACGUAUGAGCCGAUAUUUGAGUAUUUUGAGGCGAGACAUUCGGGAGUUCGUGGCGAACUCCUCGUACCGGACAUUUGCUGAGCUUCAGGCAAAUGCCCGGAAGAGGGAGAUUGAGCUAGAGACUCAGGCCAGGGAGGAGGCGGAGUCUCAGGGGAGGGAUCGGCGACCGACACAGUCUCAGCCGGCAGCCAAGCGGGCCAAGCCCGUUGAUCCCAAACCAGGGAGUCAAAAGGGCCACACUUGUAGGAAGUGUGGCAAGGGUCAUGAUGGAGUCUGCAGAGCGCGAUCUUGCUACAAGUGUGGCAAGGAGAGGCAUAUGGCCAAGGACUGCCCCAAGGGGUUUGCGGUGUGUUUUCACUGCAAUCAGACCGGACACCGGAAGGCAGAGUGUCCGCAGUUGCGAGGAUCAUCUCAGGGAGCACCUCAGGGAUCUGCCCCUGCCGCCAUCAGAGCUACAGAGAGUCGGCCAGUGAAGGCCGAGGCGCCGAGGGCACGAGGGAGAGCUUUUCAGCUGACCGCGGAGGAGGUCCGCGCAGCGCCCGAUGUCGUGGCUGGUAUGUAUUCUUUCAUGUAUUUAUUUUGAUGUUGAGAUAUUAUGCUUAUGUUAUGUUAUGCGUAGGUACUUUUCUUGUGAAUUCUGUACCUGCCUUGGUGUUAUUUGACUCGGGUGCGAGUCGGUCUUUUGUAUCUUUGGCUUUUAUUCAGCAUAUAAGUGCUAGUCGUGAGGCGUUGAGUUGGCCUCUGAGAGUUUCCAUAGCUGAUGAGAGGGUGAUAUAUGCCACGGAGGUUCUCCGAGGGUGCGUAGUCGAGAUUUUCGGUGUUGAGUUCCCGAUUGAUCUGGUUCCUAUUGCGAUGGGUGAUGUCUGUGUCAUUGUGGGCAUGGACUGGUUGAGCAGAUUCGGUGCGUUUAUCGACUGCGAGCGUCAGUUGGUGACCAUACGAGACCCGAGUGGGGGAGUUCUUUCGGUAUACGGCGAGGGUACACGUUCAGGAUCAACAUUUUGUUCCGCCACUAGGGCAAGGCAGUGUCUACAGCAGGGCUGUAAGGGUUUUGUGGCGUAUGUGAUGGAUAGCGGGUGGAUUCCGAGAGGCCGAGUUCAGUAGAGGAGGUUACGGUGGUGCGUGAGUUCCCGGAUGUAUUUCCCGAGGAGUUGCCGGGUGUGCCUCCUGUGAGGCAAGUGGAGUUCAGUAUCGAUUUGGUUCCGGGGGCCGCGCCUAUCGCUAAGGUGCCUUAUCGCCUUGCACCUCCAGAGAUGCAAGAGUUAUCCUCGCAGCUUCAGGAGCUGCUGGGGAAGGGGUUUAUUCGGCCGAGCAGCUCGCCGUGGGGAGCGCCUAUCCUGUUCGUCAAGAAGAAGGAUGGUUCACACCGGAUGUGCAUUGAUUACCGGGAGUUGAACAAGCUGACGGUCAAGAACCGUUACCCGUUGCCGAGGAUCGACGAUUUGUUCGAUCAGUUGCAGGGAGCAUCUUGGUUCUCCAAGAUCGAUUUGAGGUCUGGAUAUCAUCAGGUGAGGGUGCGAGAUGAGGACGUCCAGAAGACAGCGUUCAGGACGCGUUAUGGGCAUUACGAGUUUGUGGUGAUGCCUUUCGGGCUCACCAAUUCCCCGGCGGUGUUCAUGGAUCUCAUGAACCGAGUGUGUAGGCCGAUGCUGGAUCGGUCGGUGAUUGUAUUUAUCGACGACAUUCUGGUAUAUUCGAGAUCUAGAGAGCAGCAUGAGGAGCAUUUGAGAGAGGUUCUCGGAGUUCUGAGAUCGGAGAGGCUUUAUGCCAAAUUCUCCAAGUGUGAUUUCUGGUUGCGGGAGGUCCAGUUCUUAGGACAUCUCGUUAACCAGGAAGGGAUAUUGGUCGAUCCGGCCAAGGUUGAGGCGGUGAUGAGUUGGGAGGUGCCGAAGUCACCCUCCGAGAUCAGGAGUUUCCUAGGGUUGGCAGGGUAUUAUCGGAGGUUUAUCAAGGAUUUCUCCAAGAUCGCAGUGCCACUCACCAGAUUGACCCGGAAGGGUGUUGCUUUUUCAUGGGGCCCCGAGCAGCAGGCCUCCUUUGAGACACUUCGCCAAAGGUUGUGCGAAGCCCCGGUGUUAGCCCUCCCGGAAGGGAUGGAGGACUUUGUGGUAUACUGUGAUGCAUCGAUUUUGGGGUUGGGAGCGGUGCUGAUGCAGAGAGGGCAUGUGAUAGCAUAUGCAUCGAGGCAGCUGAAGCCUCAUGAGACGAGAUAUCCCACCCAUGAUCUAGAGUUGGGGGCAGUGGUGUUCGCCCUCAAGAUUUGGCGUCACUACUUGUAUGGGGUUCGGUGUACGAUAUACACGGACCAUAAGAGUUUGAAGUAUUUGAUGGAUCAGCCCAACCUAAAUAUGCGUCAGAGAAGGUGGUUGGAUGUGGUCAAGGAUUAUGAUUGUGAGAUCCUGUACCACCCAGGCAAGGCUAAUGUGGUAGCCGAUGCAUUGAGCCGCAGGGCGGAGAGCACCCCGCUGCGGGAUGUAUGUUUGAGAUUGACCGUGAUAGCUCCAGUGUUGGACGCCAUUCGUGGGGCACAGGCCGAGGCUGUGCAACCUGAGAUGCAGAAGAGGGAACGGGUUGUUGGUUUGGUUUCAGAGUUCGUUACCGAUGGUCGGGGGCUUAUGACAUUUCAGGGGCGUAUCUGGGUGCCGUUUGUGGGAGGAACGCGUACCACUUUGAUGGAGGAGGCUCAUCGGUCGAAAUUUUCGAUCCAUCCGGGGGCCACUAAGAUGUAUUUGGAUUUGAGAAAGGAGUAUUGGUGGCCCUGUAUGAAGAGGGACGUCGCAUGGUUUGUUGAGAGGUGCUUGACCUGCCGUAGGGUUAAGGCCGAGCACCAGAGGCCGCAUGGUAAGUUGCAGCCAUUGGAGGUACCCGAAUGGAAGGGGGAACAGAUCACUAUGGAUUUCAUCACCAAAUUGCCAAGGACUGCCAGGGGAGUGGAUGCAAUUUGAGUGAUUAUGGACAGGUUGACGAAGAGCGCUCAUUUCCUUUCUAUCAGCGAGAGUUCUUCAGUAGAGAAAUUGCCGGAGGUGUAUGUGAGGGAAGUGAUAUCUCGGCAUGGGGUGCCGAUCUCGAUUGUUUCAGACCGUGAUGUGCGUUUCACUUCCAGAUUCUGGAAGAAAUUUCAUGAGGAGUUGGGUACUAGACUGCAUUUUAGUACCGCAUAUCAUCCCCAGACAGACGGUCAGAGUGAGCGGACGAUUCAGACGCUUGAGGACAUGCUCCGAGCAUGUGUGUUGGAUUUCGGGGGUAGCUGGGAUGCAUAUUUACCCUUGGUAGAGUUUUCCUACAACAACAGCCAUCAUUCGAGCAUUGGUAUGCCACCCUUUGAGCUGUUGUAUGGGAGGAGGUGUCGGACUCGCAUUUGUUGGGGAGAGGUUGGACAGAGGGUGAUGGGCAGUAUAAAGAUCGUGCUUCAGACAACAGAGCAGAUCCAGCAGGUCAGACAGAGGUUGUUGGCUGCUCAAAGCCGAAAGAAGAGUUAUGCAGACGGACGCCGGUCCGAGCCUGAGUUUCAGGUCGGCGACCUUGUGCUCCUGAAGGUCUCUCCUUGGAAAGGAGUGAUUCGAUUCAGGAAGAGGGGCAAGUUGGGGCCCCGAUAUAUUGGUCCUUUCCGUGUGAUCGCGAGGGUAGGCCGGGUAGCCUAUCGUUUGGAUUUGCCAGCAGAGUUGGGGCAGAUUCACGACACUUUUCAUGUGUCACAGCUGAGGAAGUGUAUAGCCGACGAGUCGGCAGUGGUUCCAUUAGAGGAUAUUCAGGUGGAUGCGAGCCUGAAUUAUGCCGAGAGACCAGUGGCCAUCAGAGAUCGGAAAAUCAAGGUUUUGAGGAACAAGGAGGUACCCCUGGUGUUGGUUCAGUGGCAACAUCGGAAGGGAUCAGAGAUGACCUGGGAGCCGGAGCGUGAGAUGCGUGAGCAGCAUCCGGAGCUAUUUGCAGAGCGAGACUUCGAGGGCGAAGUCUAGUUCUAGUGGGGGAGAAUUGUAACAGCCCAGAUUUCUAGGUAUCUUUUAUUCAUAUAUUUUUGGUGUUUUUGUGAGGGGACUUGGCGAGUUGGAGCUCAAACUCGCCGAGUAGGAUCGCGGUUCUGGACGCAGGUCCGCGCCUGGACUCGGCGAGUCCGCGCUAUUUAAUGAAUCCCUAAUUUCCCGGUCCUAAGCCCUAUUUAAAGGACCUUAUGGCCCUUCAUUGCGGCUAUCUUGACCUUGAGAGCACCAAAGCAGCUGAGGGUUCUUGUGAGUGAGAUAAGAGGCCAUUAUUCACAAAAUUUGUGUGUAUUUGCAAGAAAGGAAGGGGAAAGUCAAGCUAGAAGAGUUGGCGUGCUUGGAUCUACUUCCAUUUCGUCAGGGGAAGCUUCUUGAGGUAUCUUUCAGAGCUUAUUUCCGUGUUUUUGUUGAUAUGGUCAAAUCUAGGGUUUCUUCAUGCCUUGUUUGCUUUGUAAUUGAAGUGUGAGAGGUCCCAAUGGGAUAUGGUACCUAGAUCUGGACCUUAGUAGGUCCAGAGAGUCCCAAAUUCCAUGCUUUAUGUCCUUCCUUUUGGGUUGGAGACUAGGGUUGCCAUCUUAGAGGUCAUUUCUUCAAAAAGAGCCUUAUAGGUGUUGCAUGGUAGCUAAGACUGUGACUUUACAUGAUGAAUGAGCUUAGGAGGGCCAGAUCUAUGAGUUGAUGGAGCGGAUCUGACCUCAGAAGUGAGAUUGAGUUGAUGCAUGGCAUGGACUCGCUGAGUCCGAAGAACAGACUCAGUGAGUAGCAUGAAGAUUGUCCUUAACCACUCAGCAAGUGGUCCUGUCGAGUUAUGGGUUGACUCGGUGAGUCAGGGAGAGUUAGAGACGGUUGACAGGUGGACUGAGUCGAGCUGGAACUCGCCGAGUUGUUCUUGAGACUCGGCGAGUUGAGUCGUGGUGGCCCCGCGAUUCAUGCCAGGUGGAACUCGUCGAGUCAGGGGAGUACUCGACGUGUCAANNNNNNNNNNNNNNNNNNNNNNNNNNNNNNNNNNNNNNGAGUCCGGUCAAAGUUGACCGUUGACUGUUGACCAGAGUUGACCAGUGUUGACUUGAUAGGGGUAGUCAACCUUAGUGGUAAAAGUGUUAAUUAGAGAUAUAUGAUGUUAUAGGAGGAUUAUAGCUCGGAGGAUCGAGCACGAGUGAUUUCCAGGAUUCGCGAGUUAU